rnacentral:lncRNA from 1 species
GCUCUCUAGGUUAUUCAAGGACACGGAAAAGCCAACACCAUGGUAGCAUUAAUGAAAGUUUACCAAGAGGAAGAUGAAGCCUACCAGGAAUUAGUUACCGUGGCAACCACGUUCUUCCAGUACUUAUUGCGGCCAUUUAGGGCUAUGCGAGAAGUUGCAACUUUAUAAGUCCUUGGAUGAGGAUGACCUAGGUCCUAGAAGGGUAGUUGCCCUGGAGAAAGAAGCUGAAGAAUGGACCAGACGGGCUGGAGAAGCUGUCGUCUCUAUUCAAGAUAUCACAGUGAAUUAUUUUAAGGAGACAGUAAAAGCAUUAGCAGGAGUUUCUGAUAUAUUGCACAGAAUCAACAAGAUAUAAAGCAGAAUGAUGAUCCUGGUUUUUUGGUCAAACUAUCCAUAUGAGCCUGUCUGUCUAGCUAGUCAUAGAAACAAUAUGGAAGCAAGUGUGCCAAAAUAUAAGAAGCAGUUGCCUCAACUAGGAAUGCAAAAAGAAAUGGAACAGGAUGUGAAGAGACUUGGCCAGGCUGCCUGGGCCACAGCAAUUCCCAGGUUGGAAAAACUUAAGCUAAUGCUAGCUCAAGAGACUCUGCAACUCAUGAGAGCGAAAGAAUUGUAUUUAAAUUGCAAAAGAGCUGAAAUUCAGGGAAAGAUGGAAGAUCUUCCAGAACAAGAAAAAAAUAUAAAUGUUGUAGAUGAAUUAGAAAUACAAUUUUAUGAAAUUCAGUUAGAACUAUAUGAAGUUAAAUUUGAGAUAUUAAAAAACAAAGAAAUACUGCUUACUACACAGUUGGACUCUCUUGAAAGACUUAUAAAAGAAAAACAGGAUGAAGUUGUCUAUUACGAUCCAUGUGAAAGUCCAGAGGAACUUAGUCAUUGACUGUGGUGGGGCUGCAGGACGAUAAGAAUUCGGAAGUGAAAGAACUCAGAAGGCAGUGCCAGCAGCUGGAGUCUAUUAAACGGGGCAGGAUCUGUGUCAAAAGAGCUUCUCUCCAGAGUAGAAAG